rnacentral:rRNA from 1 species
UACAGGAGGGUGCAAGCGUUAAUCGGAAUUACUGGGCGUAAAGCGUGCGUAGACGGUAGCGUAAGUCGGGUGUGAAAGCCCCGGGCUCAACCUGGGAAUUGCAUUCGAGACUGCUCUGCUAGGGUGCGGAAGAGGGAAGCGGAAUUUCCGAGUGAGCGGUGAAAUGCGUAGAUAUCGGAAGGAACACAGUGGCGAAAGCGACACCCUGGACUCAUACUGACACUGAGGUGCGAAAGCGUGGGGAGCAAACAGG